GGGAAGCAAGGUGCUCCAGUCAACAACCGCAGCUGAGCCCCUAGCAGAAGCCAGAACCCAUGCUCAUCCCUGUGAGUGAGCUCUCUCAGAUGUACCAGCCUAACGGAGCCUCCAGCUGAUGGCAGCCCCAGACGAGGCUCCACGGCAGUCAUGCUUGUGAAGGGAUGGAGGUAUUGCUACAAACUGCUCCCUGAGGCACAUGGAAAGCCGUAUCCUCAGAAGGUGCCUUGCUCCUCAGGCUGGUGGCCUUGCUCAUAUCAGGUGUCUGAAGGAGGCAGGUUCUGAGCAUCUGUGUCCUGAUGGCUGCUGGAGCUUCU